GGGGCCGUAGGGUAGCCUGGACCAUCCUGCAAGACUGGGGGUCUUGUGACCUGAGUUCGAAUCUCGGCGGCCCCACCA
rnacentral:tRNA from 2 species